rnacentral:rRNA from 1 species
GGUGAGUAACACGUGGAUAACCUACCUAUAAGACUGGGAUAACUUCGGGAAACCGGAGCUAAUACCGGAUAAUAUUUUGAACCGCAUGGUUCAAAAGUGAAAGACGGUCUUGCUGUCACUUAUAGAUGGAUCCGCGCUGCAUCAGCUAGUUGGUAAGGUAACGGCUUACCAAGGCAACGAUGCAUAGCCGACCUGAGAGGGUGAUCGGCCACACUGGAACUGAGACACGGUCCAG